rnacentral:rRNA from 1 species
UGGGGAAUAUUGCACAAUGGGCGCAAGCCUGAUGCAGCCAUGCCGCGUGUGUGAAGAAGGCCUUCGGGUUGUAAAGCACUUUCAGCGAGGAGGAAGGUGGUGAGCUUAAUACGCUCAUCAAUUGACGUUACUCGCAGAAGAAGCACCGGCUAACUCCGUGCCAGCAGCCGCGGUAAUACGGAGGGUGCAAGCGUUAAUCGGAAUUACUGGGCGUAAAGCGCACGCAGGCGGUUUGUUAAGUCAGAUGUGAAAUCCCCGGGCUCAACCUGGGAACUGCAUUUGAAACUGGCAAGCUAGAGUCUCGUAGAGGGGGGUAGAAUUCCAGGUGUAGCGGUGAAAUGCGUAGAGAUCUGGAGGAAUACCGGUGGCGAAGGCGGCCCCCUGGACGAAGACUGACGCUCAGGUGCGAAAGCGUGGGGCAGCAAACAGGAUUAGAUACCCUGGUAGUCCACGCUGUAAACGAUGUCGAUUUUGGAGGUUGUGCCCCUUGAGGCGUGGCUUCCGGAGCUAACGNGUUAAAUCGACCGCCUGGGGAGUACGGCCGCAAGGCUAAAACUCAAAUGAAUGAC